CAAAAAUAAAGAAACAAAAAGAUAUAAAGUUUGAGUACAUUCCAACCAAUGAAAACCCUGCUGAUGUUGCUACAAGAGGAACUUCGACAAACAAACCUGCCAUCAACAGAUUGGGAUGGCAUGGUCCUGUCUGAUUAAAUUGUGCUGAAGGAUCCUCGAAGUUGAACUCGAAUAACAAGAAUGAAACUGUUAAAAAAAUUACCAAUCUGAAGUCAAAAAGAAUGUCAAAGAAAGCAUUUCUCAUAAUAGUGCAAAUAUUGAUAUAUAUGACAAAACACCUUAUGGGAUUCAAAGUGAUAAAUUAUCUUCCUU
rnacentral:lncRNA from 1 species